UACGAGGGAUGCAAGCGUUAUCCGGAAUUAUUGGGCGUAAAGCGUUUGUCGGCGGGCGAGUGUGUUUAAUGUUAAAUCUUAAAGGUCAACUUUGAAAUUGCGUUAAAAACUGCUUGACUUGAGUAUGGUAGGGGUAAAGGGAAUUCCCAGUGUAGCGGUGAAAUGCGUAGAUAUUGGGAAGAACACUAAACAGCGAAGGCACUUUACUAGGCUAAUACUGACGCUGAGAAACGAAAGGUAAGGUAGCGAAACGG
rnacentral:rRNA from 1 species